rnacentral:rRNA from 1 species
AUUGAACGCUGGCGGCAGGCCUAACACAUGCAAGUCGAACGAGUGGCGGACGGGUGAGUAAUGUCUGGGAAACUGCGUGAUGGAGGGGGAAAACUACUGGAAACGGUAGCAAAUACCGCAUACUAGCGGAUGUCCACAUAUGGGUUUAGCUAGUAGGUGGGGUAAAGGCUCACCUAGGCGACGAUCCCUAGCUGGUCUGAGAGGAUGACCAGCCACACUGGAACUGAGACACGGUCCAGACUCCUACGGGAGGCAGCAGUGGGGAAUAUUGCACAAUGGGCGCAAGCCUGAUGCAGCCAUGCCGCGUGUAUGAAGAAGGCCCUCGGGUUGUAAAGUACUUUCAGCGGGGAGGCGUUACCCGCAGAAGAAGCACCGGCUAACUACGUGCCAGCAGCCGCGGUAAUAC